rnacentral:rRNA from 1 species
GGAUGCGAUCAUACCAGCACUAAUGCACCGGAUCCCAUCAGAACUCCGCAGUGUAAGCGUGCUUGGGCGAGAGUAGUACUAGGAUGGGUGACCUCCCGGGAAGUCCUCGUGUUGCAUCCC